rnacentral:rRNA from 1 species
AGAGUUUGAUCCUGGCUCAGAACGAACGCUGGCGGCAGGCUUAACACAUGCAAGUCGAACGCUCCGCAAGGAGAGUGGCAGACGGGUGAGUAACGCGUGGGAACAUACCCCUCGGUUCGGAAUAACUCAGGGAAACUUGAGCUAAUACCGAAUACGGUCGAGAGGCGAAAGAUUUAUCGCCGAGGGAUUGGCCCGCGUCCGAUUAGCUAGUUGGUGAGGUAAUGGCUCACCAAGGCGACGAUCGGUAGCUGGUCUGAGAGGAUGAUCAGCCACAUUGGGACUGAGACACGGCCCAAACUCCUACGGGAGGCAGCAGUGGGGAAUAUUGGACAAUGGGCGAAAGCCUGAUCCAGCCAUGCCGCGUGAGUGAUGACGGCCUUAGGGUUGUAAAGCUCUUUCAUCAGGGACG